ACUUUCGAUGGUAGGAUAGAGGCCUACCAUGGUGGUAACGGGUAACGGGGUGUUAGGGCACGACACCGGAGAGGGAGCCUGAGAAACGGCUACCACAUCCAAGGAUGGCAGCAGGCGCGCAAAUUACCCAAUCCCGACACGGGGAGGUAGUGACAAUAAAUAACAAUACGGGGUUCUUUCGGAUUUCGUAAUUGGAAUGAGUACAAUUUAAAUCUCUCAACGAGGAACAAUUGGAGGGCAAGUCUGGUGCCAGCAGCCGCGGUAAUUCCAGCUCCAAUAGCGUAUAUUAAAGUUGCUGCAGUUAAAAAGCUCGUAGUUGAAUUUCGGGACCAAUAUGUCGGUCGUGCCUCGGUACGUACUGGCAUCGUUGGUUUCUCCCUUCUGACGAACCAUGAUGUCAUUCAUUUGGUGUCGUGGGGAAUCAGGACUGUUACUUUGAAAAAAUUAGAGUGUUUAAAGCAGGCUCACGCUUGAAUACAUUAGCAUGGAAUAAUGAAAUAGGACGUUUGAUUCUAUUUUGUUGGUUUCUAGGAUCGACGUAAUGAUUAAUAGGGAUAGUUGGGGGCAUUAGUAUUCAAUUGUCAGAGGUGAAAUUCUUGGAUUUAUUGAAGACUAACUACUGCGAAAGCAUUUGCCAAGGAUGUUUUCAUUAAUCAAGAACGAAAGUUAGGGGAUCGAAGACGAUCAGAUACCGUCGUAGUCUUAACCAUAAACUAUGCCGACUAGGGAUCGGAUGAUGUUAAUUUUUUAAUGACUCAUUCGGCGCCUUACGGGAAACCAAAGUGUUUGGGUUC
rnacentral:rRNA from 1 species